CCACCCAGCUCCGCCCGCCGCCGGCUGCCUGCCGUUGCCGCGCCGCUCCGCACCGCACCGCACCGCUCCGCACGGCCGGGCGCAGCGCCGGGCAGGGCAGCGCCCAUGGGCUGCGGCAACUCCACGGCCAGCGGCGCGGGCGGGCGAGGUGCCACAGGGACUACUAAAGAUGUAGCAGAAGAAUCCGUAUCAGAUGAUGACAAAAGGAGGAACUAUGGCGGCGUGUACGUUGGCCUGCCGUCGGACGCGGCUGCCAUGGUUUCCAGUCAGACGAAAGCUGCACCGAAAGGUAUCGGAAGAUUAGAAGGAAAUAAACACAUCAAGAUCCAAGCAGCUGGAGUCUUCUACUGAGACCACUUGCCAGUGCUUUAGAGAGAGAGUUGUCUUUCUGCUGAAGAUUUUUAUAUUUACGUAGCCUUCUGGAGAGCAAGAGAGAUCAGAGCACCAAAAGAUCUAAACUGUUGCAAGUUCCAACUACGGGUAAAGCUUAAAGUACAGCAUUGAAUCAGUUUCCUACAAUGGUUGCAUUAUGGAAACCUCCUGCUCUUCUCCAGUGAAAAGUGAAAUUAAUGAACUCAUCGUGGAUGUUUCUGCACAAGAGCUAACUUUGAUGAUCUGCAACUUAUUUCUCUGUGGCCAUAUUGCAGAUUUCAUCAGCUAUCAGCUACGCUUCGUAUAUUUUCUCCAACAAUUUUUGAUAGAUUUUAUAUAGAAAACCAUUACUACUGUCCACUUAAUAGUUCCUAUGAGCUGCAGAGAAGUGUGGAGCACUUUGCAGAAUUGGCCUCUUAAUGAUUCAUCCUCUGAAUGUGUGGGAGGUAUGGUGGUUUCUUAAUAUUUUUGUUCCUCUGCAUCUUUUAAUCUCAAAAGCUCACUGAUCAACUGACAAACGUUUCAGUGUCAUGGGCCGGAGCCUCUGCAGUAGAUACACAUUCAUUUAUGCCACACGAGUCUGUACCCAUCAAACAGAAGAGCUAGGGCCAUGUCCUUGUCUUAGAUUUGCAGACACUUGUCUUGUGGUUUCCCAAGGACCCACAGGUCUAGAAACUGUGUGACAGGACACUGCAUGCAGUCUUGGCCAAAUUCCCCUUAGGGAACCGAUUUUCUGCUCAUCAAAAUUCCCCUAUGGUGAGUAGCAUUUCUUAAGCCUCUGGUAAUAAACGCACAUGACAUUUCGUGGAGAAAUGGGUAUAUCUGCUCUUUCAAAACUUAGAAUCUAUGGAUAUUUCUGUUAGGAGGAGGAACACAAAAGAAGCCCUGUAUGCCAGAUGCCGGCUGUGCAUUUGAUGGCAUCCUCGGAGGAUAUUUAGGCACUCAAAUGAUGGUUCAGUGUGAGAAUUGACAACAGAACACAAGAAGCCAUUGAAUGGCAGAGUUGUUAUUAAGAGAUAUACUUUGGUUUUGUCAAAACAUCUUGAAUUAACAUUUGUAAAGAAGCAGCACUGAAAUCUUGGAGCUGUGAUACCAUCUCCUUUGCAGUAGUCACUCUUU